AAGAAACGGACUGAAGGACACGCGGGUCAAAGGGCUGAAAUCCGGGUCAUACGCGGGUCAAAAAUAAACCAUCGAGAAGAAUUUCACAGCUGCAGCAAACGAAUUUCACAUAGCAAUUAAGUCUCGCGAACUUCACAGCUGCUGCCCCUUCGAUUCAGGUCUGUGAAAUCCAUUUCGCGAAUUUGUUGAUCUGAAGCAAAGAGAUCUCAUACUCCCUCACCUCAAACCCGGCCAUUUAGCGAAGGGGCAGUAAUCACUAAAUUCCGAUUCUCUCAACUGGAACUGAAGCAAAGGGGCAGUAAUCACUAGAUUCCGAUUCGCGAAUUCACAGAGCUGAAGCAAACGGCCAUUUCGCGAAUUCUCUCUCCCCAAGCUUUUACCCUGCUUUUGUGCUUUUGUGUAUCAUUGAGUCAAAAAGGUAAAAUUUUACACUUCUUUGCUUUGUGCUUUUAAAAUUUGCUUUUGUGUAUCAUCCAGAUUAUGUGUACCCUGCUUUGUGCUUUUUGUGUAUCAUUUUGUAUAUUCUGAAAAGUUAAUUACCAAAUUUUAUACUGUAGGUUUUAAUCAAAAUGGAUAAUGUUGAAGCAGAGGGAGAAAAUUUAGAGCGGGGAGAAGGGGGGAAUGUAGACUUUGAAAUAGAUAGUGGGCUAAAUGAGGAACAAUAUGUUGAGUUAGAUCCUAAAUCUUCAGAUAAUUUGUAUAAUCCUCAAGUAGCACCAGAGCUGAAACCAAAAAUAGGUCAAGAAUUUCAAACAAUUGAUGAUGCUUUUAGUUUCUACAAUGCAUAUGCAAAAGAGAGUGGAUUUAGUGUUCGAAAUUGGUCUGAAAAAAAGAGACAGGGAAGUAGUGAGAUCAUAAGGAAAGAGUUUGUUUGUUGGAAACAGGGGAAUGCUACAACAGUAGCGAACAUUCAGGCAACAAGGCGCAGGGGAUCAAUUAAAGAGGGUUGUAAAGCAAAACUUGCUAUUGUGAUGACACCUUCAGACUUAUAUGUUGUUAAUAUAUUUGUUGAGGGUCAUUGUCACCCAUUAACAACUCCACGAAAAACACAUUUGUUGCGAUCUCACCGCAAUAUAUCAACUGCCCAAAAGGCCCUGACUCAACAGCUUCAGAUGGUAAAUAUACCAUCGCAUCAACAAUUCAAUUUGCUUGGAGUGCAAUCGGGGGGGUUUGAGAAUAUUGGUUGUACGCAAAGAGAUUUGUAUAAUCUCGAAAGAGAUAAGCGCAAUGAGAUGAAAGGACAUGAUGGACAUAUGUUGCACGAGUUUUUAAUGGGUGAACAAGGAAAGAAUCCAUCAUUUUAUUUCAAAAUUGAGUCAAAUGAUGAAAACAUGAUUACUCAUUGUUUUUGGGCUGAUUCAACCUCUAGACGGGCUUACAAUUUUUAUGGUGAUGUAGUGAUCUUUGAUACUACGUACAACACUAAUCGGUAUGGAUUAAUUUUUGCGCCACUAAUGGGGGUUAAUAAUCAUGGUCAAACAAUAAUAUUUGCAUGUGCAUUCUUGAGUAAUGAGACCAUAGAUUCAUUUGUUUGGCUUUUCAACCAAUUUUUGGAAGCCAUGUCAAGUGAUGCCCCUAAGAUGAUCAUUACUGAUCAAGAUCCUGCUAUGACAAAUGCAAUUUCACAAACUCUACCAACAACAUUUCAUAGAUAUUAUAGUUGGCACAUUUUAACUAAAUUUUUUGAGAAGAUAGAUUCAGUUAAAUAUAGUGCUUACUAUAAGGAGUUUUCGAAUUGCAUAUGGAAAACAAGAGUUCGAUUUGAAAUGGAUAGAGUUGGUUGAGAAGAGUGGGUUAAAUGACAACAAAUGGCUACAAUCAAUGUUUGAAAUUCGUGUUAAAUGGGUGCCGGCAUAUACGAAUCAUGUUUUCUCGGCUGGAAUGUCAAGUAGCUAAUGAGCUGAAAGCUCUCACUCAUUCUUCAAAAAAUAUGUUUCAAAAAAUAAUUCAUUGGUGGAUUUUAUGAUUCAGUUUGGUAGGGGACUUGAGCGUCAACGUCAUGAAGAAUUAUUGGUGAAUCACAAAGACAUGAUUGAGAAGCCUAAAAUGAAAAUGCUUCACGACUUUUUGGUGCAUAUGGUUGAUAUCUAUACACAUGAUAUAUUUUUUAAGUUUCAAGAUGAGAUGUGGGAGAGCUUGACUUUUAAAUUUGAGCUUAUAGAUGAGGAUGAAGAUCACCGUGUGUACACCAUUGCAAGAAAAAGUGGCAGUAAUUAUCCGUUGCGACAAAUUCAUUAUGACAAGGUUAAGGAUUUUGCUUCAUGUACUUUUAAAAAAUUUCAGAGCAUGGGGAUUCCUUGUAGACACGUGUUGGGAUAUUUGCACAAAAUGCAUGAUUAUGAAAUAUUGCCAAGUCAAUACAUUUUGAGUAGAUGGACAAAAACAGUUAAAUCUGGGGUAGUCGUUGAUGGUAGUGGCAUUGAGAUAACUGAUAACAGGUCAUAUCUACUGAAGCGGAGUCAAUUAAUGCAACUAGCCUUAGAUAUGGUUGACAAGGCCCUUACUAGCAAAGAAGCAACUAAGGUCUAUAUUGAUGCUUUGAGUGGUGCACAUGAUAAAAUUAAUCAAAUGAUUAGUUGUGGUACAAGUUUUGUUGAUACUGUAGAACGAAGUCAAAUUCCAAGUGUAGUUGCUUCAGGGAGUGGGGGUAACAACUACUACAACGAACCGAGUCAAGUGCGUGCAAAGGGUUGUGGUAAAAGGCUUAAAGGAGGGAAAGAGAAAACAUUAAGGGGACCAAAAAAAUCUAAAGCUAGACGGUGUAAUGGGUGUGGUUUGGUUGGACAAACACACGACAAAAGAAAUUGUCCCAUGCUUACAAAUCGGUAAGAAAUUUGCAAAUUUUGCAUUUAUUUUCAUAGAUAUUGUUGUAUCUAAUUGUGCUUAUUAGAUGUCAUUUUUGUUGCAGGUAUUCACCUUGUCAUGACGGCGCAACUCCCAACCCAAGUGUAGAUAUUGAUAGUUAUUCAUCUCUAGAUGAUUAUAUUUUGUCAACUAACAUUGUAUUUUGUUACUGUAAUUAUGUACUGAUUUGAACUGGAAUUAUGUACUGAUUAUGUACUGCAAUUAUGUACUAUUUUCAACUGCAAUUAUGUACUGAUUUGAACUGGAACUAGGACAGGAGCAGUAUGAGGGAAUGGACUGCAAUUAUGUACUGAUUUACAACUGUAGAAGCUGUAUUUUUGUACUUUUGGACUAUGUAUUUUGUUACUUUUGUAUGGCAUUGCUUUGUUUGGAAUGUACCAAUAUUUUGUAUGACAUUGCAAAUUUUGAAAAACUGUAAGGUAUGUUUUUCUAGCUGGGGAACUAUGUAUUUGGUGUUAUGACAGGGUCUCUGUAUUACCAAGUGCUGCAGUGAUAGUGAUGCUGCGGUUCCUUUUUGUUAUAAUAGUGUGUUAUAAUAGUCUUGUUGCAGUUCCUUUUUGUUAUAUUCACAUUUUGUAUUACCAAGUGCUGCAUUUGUUUUUUUAAUGAUGAGUUUGGGGUCAGACUCUGGCUGAAUGGUACUUUAAGAAAUGUUGAAAAUUCAUCUUCAUAUGGUACUAUACAUAUUUGCUAGGUACUGAAGAUUGCUUAAGCACUUUCAAUUUGAUGUAU
rnacentral:lncRNA from 1 species